AUCCAAUUAGCGGCCUCCUUAGCUACGGCAGCCCGCGAGGAUCAAAAAGGUCAUGCUGGGACGGAAUGCUCACCUGCAAGAACUGGAGCCUGAAAUACGCUAGACCCUUCAAGGACACAUUCACUCUCCAAAGGAGACCCCAGUCCUAAGGGCGAGGGAGAUAGCCCACAGAACCACUUACAGCAUCUAAAGGAGAAACAGCCCCCAAACCCAAACGAUGGCUGCCAGGAGUUGGGGAAAGAGCUGAUGGGUGGUGGUUGCUCAGGAGGUAGUGGCACUCCCUAAUGACCCAGCACUCAAAUAUAUGAGCCUGUGGAAGCCAGCCCUGUUCAAACCACUGUGUCAUACAAGGAAAUAGAAAGGAAGCUACACGUCUUGAAAAGUAGACGCUCUUCUUAAACCUAACAGAAGACUGAGAUCAUCGGAUGAACUGCUGACAUCAGAGCUGGGGUGGGGAAGGCGACGUCAGAAAGCAGAAAUGUUCUGUCAGGUCUUCAUGUGGGCUCGUGUGAUUCAUAUGCAGUUCAUUUGGCAAUGACAAAGAUUUCAGAACAUGUAACAAACAAAGCUUAAUUUGAAAUCAAACAUGUAAUUAAUCCCAAGUAUUUCUGUUUCACCAGAUAACAUCACUUCAGUCUUGUUUCUGAACGCAAAUAUGUGCACUUAGCGUGGCACGUGUCUCGUCAUGAAAGCCAGCGACUACAGACUGUGAUGCCCAGGCGGUGGGAACAGGUUUUACUGUUCACACACAGUUUUAUGCUCCCGUAGAAACAGUGGUUUAAUUACAGAACUAUUUCCCAACCAUCGUAUUUCAGAAUGAAAGUGUCUAGUCUGGUUAUCGGGGGACUGUAUUUUAUCAGAAUGUUUGACUAUAAGAAUUGUUGUUUGAGUCAUUGUAUUGAAUUUCAUAAAAAAUCAAUGCAUUGUAGUUUGAGAUUGGAACAGAAUUUCUAGAAAUUUCUGCAAUUGCCCUAAAAUAUUCCUGCUGCCUUUUUUAUUGCAUAUUUAUAUGAAGUACCAUUCUCAGCAUCGAUGAUUAUUAAAUAAGUAUUCAUUAACCCCACAAAACAUUGAAGAUGCUCUAAUCCUUCAGGAUUGAAUAUUCAGCUGAGGUCUGACUCUUUAUGUAAAACAAACAAGCACAUCUCAUUAAUAUGCAAAUUUGCUUUAAACUUCAAUGAAUGGUGAAAUGAUAUUAAUUAUAUGUGUACUAAAUAAUUGUUUUGUAAUAAAUUUCUUAGGAUUUCUUGUCAGUAAAUGUUUGAUUUCCUCA